GUCAAGGAAAGAGAAGAUGGAGCAGGUGGUCAGCUAAGUCAAGGAAAGAGAAGAUGGAGAAGGAGGUCAGCUAAGUCAAGGAAAGAGAAGAUGGAUCAGGAGGUCAGCUAAGUCAAGGAAAGAGAAGAUGGAUCAGGAGGUCAGCUAAGUCAAGGAAAGAGAAGAUGGAUCAGGAGGUCAGCUAAGUCAAGGAAAGAGAAGAUGGAGCAGGUGGUCAGCUAAGUCAAGGAAAGAGAAGAUGGAUCAGGAGGUCAGCUAAGUCAAGGAAAGAGAAGAUGGAUCAGGAGGUCAGCUAAGUCAAGGAAAGAGAAGAUGGAGCAGGAGGUCAGCUAAGUCAAGGAAAGAGAAGAUGGAGCAGGAGGUCAGCUAAGUCAAGGAAAGAGAAGAUGGAGCAGGAGGUCAGCUAAGACAAGGAAAGAGAAGAUGGAGCAGGUGGUCAGCUAAGUCAAGGAAAGAGAAGAUGGAGCAGGUGGUCAGCUAAGUCAAGGAAAGAGAAGAUGGAGCAGAAGGUCAGCUAAGUCAAGGAAAGAGAAGAUGGAGCAGGAGGUCAGCUAAGUCAAGGAAAGAGAAGGUCAGCUAAGUGAAUAUGGAGAAGGAGGUCAGCUAAGACAAGGAAAGAGAAGAUGGAGCAGGUGGUCAGCUAAGUCAAGGAAAGAGAAGAUGGAGCAGGUGGUCAGCUAAGUCAAGGAAAGAGAAGAUGGAGCAGAAGGUCAGCUAAGUCAAGGAAAGAGAAGAUGGAGCAGGAGGUCAGCUAAGUCAAGGAAAGAGAAGGUCAGCUAAGUGAAUAUGGAGAAGGAGGUCAGCUAAGUCAAGGAAAGAGAAGAUGGAGCAGGAGGUCAGCUAAGUCAAGGAAAGAGAAGGUCAGCUAAGUGAAUAUGGAGAAGGAGGUCAGCUAAGUCAAGGAAAGAGAAGAUGGAGCAGGAGGUCAGCUAAGUCAAGGAAAGAGAAGGUCAGCUAAGUGAAUAUGGAGAAGGAGGUCAGCUAAGUCAAGGAAAGAGAAGAUGGAGAAGGAGGUAAGCUAAGUCAAGGAAAGAGAAGAUGGAGCAGGAGGUCAGCUAAGUCAAGGAAAGAGAAGAUGGAGCAGGAGGUCAGCUAAGUCAAGGAAAGAGAAGAUGGAGCAGGAGGUCAGCUAAGACAAGGAAAGAGAAGAUGGAGCAGGUCAGCUAAGUCAAGGAAAGAGAAGAUGGAGAAGGAGGUAAGCUAAGUCAAGGAAAAAGAAUAUGGAGCAGGAGGUCAGCUAAGUCAAGGAAAGAGAAGGUCAGCUAAGUGAAUAUGGAGAAGGAGGUCAGCUAAGUCAAGGAAAGAGAAGAUGGAGAAGGAGGUAAGCUAAGUCAAGGAAAAAGAAUAUGGAGCAGGAGGUCAGCUAAGUCAAGGAAAGAGAAGAUGGAGAAGGAGGUCAGCUAAGUCAAGGAAAGAGAAGAUGGAGCAGAAGGUCAGCUAAGUCAAGGAAAGAGAAGAUGGAGCAGGAGGUCAGCUAAGACAAGGAAAGAUAAUAUGGAGAAGGUCAGCUAAGUCAAGGAAAGAGAAGAUGGAGCAGGAGGUCAGCUAAGUCAAGGAAAGAGAAGGUCAGCUAAGUGAAUAUGGAGAAGGAGGUCAGCUAAGUCAAGGAAAGAGAAGAUGGAGAAGGAGGUAAGCUAAGUCAAGGAAAAAGAAUAUGGAGCAGGAGGUCAGCUAAGUCAAGGAAAGAGAAGAUGGAGCAGGAGGUCAGCUAAGACAAGGAAAGAGAAGAUGGAGAAGGUCAGCUAAGUCAAGGAAAGAGAAGAUGGAGCAGGAGGUCAGCUAAGUCAAGGAAAGAGAAGGUCAGCUAAGUGAAUAUGGAGAAGGAGGUCAGCUAAGUCAAGGAAAGAGAAGAUGGAGAAGGAGGUAAGCUAAGUCAAGGAAAAAGAAUAUGGAGCAGGAGGUCAGCUAAGUCAAGGAAAGAGAAGAUGGAGAAGGAGGUCAGCUAAGACAAGGAAAUAGAAUAUGGAGAAGGAGGUAAGCUAAGUCAAGGAAAGAGAAUAUGAAGAAGGUCAGCUAAGUCAAGGAAAGAGAAUAUGGAGCAGGAGGUCAGCUAAGUCAAGGAAAGAGAAGAUGGAGAAGGAGGUCAGCUAAGACAAGGAAAUAGAAUAUGGAGAAGGAGGUCAGCUAAGACAAGGAAAUAGAAUAUGGAGAAGGAGGUCAGCUAAGACAAGGAAAUAGAAUAUGGAGAAGGAGGUCAGCUAAGUCAAGGAAAUAGAAUAUGGAGAAGGAGGUCAGCUAAGACAAGGAAAGAGGAUGGAGCAUCAGGUCAGCUAACGGCAUACUUUCAUUAUCAGAACAAGAUAAGGCAUUGUACGUGACUUGUGUGAUGUGUUCAGGAUGUAAUUUACUGAGACUCAAACCUGCAUUUGUAGAAAAUAAACCCUGCCCUGGUUGAAAUGGUGGUGUGUCCUACAUGUAGGAAGUUUAGCAACACUAGCCUUCUCUGGCUCUGAACCAUGAUGGUGUUUGAUAAGCAACACUAGCCUUCUCUGG